rnacentral:rRNA from 1 species
UACGGAGGGUGCGAGCGUUGUCCGGAAUCAUUGGGCGUAAAGAGCGUGUAGGCGGCUAUUUAAGUCCUGCGUGAAAUCCUGCGGCUCAACCGCAGACGGUCGUGGGAAACUGGAUGGCUAGAGUGCGGGAGAGGAGAGUGGAAUUCCCGGUGUAGCGGUGAAAUGUGCAGAUAUCGGGAAGAACACCCGUGGCGAAGGCGGCUCUCUGGAACGCAACUGACGCUGAGACGCGAAAGCGUGGGGAGCAAACAGG